UGUUCGAACAGUAGAUGGAAUACACUUUUAUCAUCGCCCACGGUCCGUUUUCCUUCUUUUCGUUUUUCUCGUAUUUCUGAAUUAAUUUGGAAAGUUCUCUACCUCCUUGUACUCCUACUUCUGUUGGAUUAUUUGUUACUGCAGCUGAUUCAAGGUCUUAUCUGAAGUUUCUGGAGACGGAAUUUUUUCUUGUUUGAUAUGGGGCAGACUGAUGGAUGCUUUACAAGAAUAUGCGAUAAGAGGCAUAAUUCUUCAAUGAGCAUGAGUUGUUCUCUUGUUGUAUUGGAAUGCCGGAAAAACUGAAGGCUGGAGCAUUGUACUUGUUCAACAUAAAAGGGAGCGAGACCAACCAAGGACAUCCAUAAAGAUGGUUUGAACUGAGAUUGUUCCUUUCGAGUUUACUUGGUUAUAGUACAUGUUAAUUUGAACCGACCAAGAAGAUAGUAAAGUUACAGGGCCUGUGUGGCUUGCAGGAAUUAAAGAAAUAAGUACCUUCUUUUACCUUAUUCGAAAAUAAAGACAUAAACAUGGAAUCAUUUUAACCACGUAAUUUGGAACUAAUUUACAUAUCAUGGGGCAGGGAAGUUAAAAGAAUGAGAAUGUUCUUCAUUGUGCAUAUAAUGUGUAAAAAUAAAUGGCAGUGUUUUUACCAUUGAUGUUAUUAUGGUACCUAUUUAUGUUGUCUCAAAGUUCAGAGAAGUCUUUCUUUGAAAGCAAACGGGGUUGCCAAUCACUUUUGUAUGUGGACCAAAAGCUUAGCUUUCAAAUAUGGACCGAGAAAAAUCUCAGAGGGAUGUACCACAGGUAAUAAGCUUCUGUACAGGUUGGUCACACUUCUUAUCUGGUGAUAGGAUGUGGAUUGGGCAUUGAGGUUGGAUGGAUACUGAAGCCAUUGAAGAAAAUCACGUGGUAGUAAAAUCUUGACUUUAGCCGAAAGAUCAAAAUUAGUGAUCCAUAUUUUCUGUAUCUUGAUUCUUAACAGGCAUGAGCUGGAUCAGCACAGCACACACUCUGGUGGCCUGCCUAGUCUCCAAUCCUUUUUUCAAUUCAUGUCAGCUUCCAUCACUUUCCCAGUGAAUUUUUCUUUCCCAUUCAAAGCAAUACAACAAGAACCAUGAAAGUGAGCCUAAAGCAGCACUAAGAAUUACGAUCUUGGGAAAGAUUAAUUGGUCCAUGAAGAGGGAAGUUAAAGAGGAGAUCAUGGAGAUUAAAAGUGCUUCUAAAAUUGAGAAUUCCAAGACAAAAUCCUCAUGUAGAGGAGCUGGAGGAUUGGUGCGAGAAGGAAAAGGUAGGCUGUAUAUAUUUGGCCGAUGUGUUGCUAUGCUUCUUUGCUGGCACGAUUGAAGCAAUUCAUUGUAUCAAAAUCCCAUGCAUCUGUUUUUGUUAGUUCUUAUCAUUUCCUUUUUUUUGUUUACUUCUCUUUCUAGAUCAAUCUGUACAUCUUAUUGUAAUCUUGUAAGAUGAAGGUUCUGAUUA